rnacentral:rRNA from 1 species
CUACGGGAGGCUCCAGUGGGGAAUAUUGGACAAUGGGCGAAAGCCUGAUCCAGCAAUGCCGCGUGUGUGAAGAAGGCCUGCGGGUUGUAAAGCACUUUCAGUUGGGAAGAUGAUGACGUUACCAACAGAAGAAGCACCGGCUAAAUCCGUGCCAGCAGCCGCGGUAAUACGGAUGGUGCGAGCGUUAAUCGGAAUUACUGGGCGUAAAGCGCGCGUAGGCGGCUAAGUCAGUCAGAAGUGAAAGCCCCGGGCUCAACCUGGGAAUUGCUUUUGAUACUGCUUAGCUAGAGUUUGGUAGAGGAUAGUGGAAUUCCAGGUGUAGCGGUGAAAUGCGUAGAUAUCUGGAGGAACAUCAGUGGCGAAGGCGACUGUCUGGACCAAAACUGACGCUGAGGUGCGAAAGCGUGGGUAGCAAACAGGAUUAGAUACCCUAGUAGUC